rnacentral:rRNA from 1 species
UACAGAGGUCCCGAGCGUUGUUCGGAUUCACUGGGCGUAAAGGGUGCGUAGGUGGCUUUGCAAGUCUGAUGUGAAAUCUCCGGGCUUAACCCGGAAAUGGCAUUAGAAACUGUGAGGCUUGAGGCUUGGAGGGGGAACUGGAAUUCUCGGUGUAGCAGUGAAAUGCGUAGAGAUCGAGAGGAACACCAGUGGCGAAGGCGGGUCUCUGGACAGUUCCUGACGCUGAGGCACGAAGGUCAGGGGAGCAAACGGG